UUCAAAACCCCUUGCCAGCAAAAGCAAGGGGUUUGCCUUCUGGGUCGAGCUCUUCGCAUCGGGCUUGCCUAGUGCGUGUUACCUCUCUUGUGUGGUUUGUGAGUUAUUUCAUAGGAGUGAGAGUUUUACCUGUGCGCACCCAAAGGAUAGAGGUUGCGGAUUUCCCUUGUCAAAAAACAAAAAAGAAAAACAAAGAGAAAAGAAGCAGCAAAAUUGAGGAUCGUACUAGCCCCGAGAGUGAAAGAAGAUGUUUGCAUAGGAGUGAGAGUUUUACCUGUGCGCACCCAAAGGAUAGAGGCUGCGGAUUUCCCUUGUCAAAAAACAAAAAACAAAAACAAAGAGAAAAGAAGCAGCAAAAUUGAGGAUCGUACUAGCCCCGAGAAUGAAAGAAGAUGUGAAGACAAUUACUGGAAGGGAGAAGUUAAAGAAACUACUGAAUUCUCUCUUCCUUUCUUUCCACAUCAGGAAAUGAGAAUUGGGUGAGAAGAGAGAAGGAGGUGGGGAUAGGAGAACAAAGAAACAAAGGAAC
rnacentral:lncRNA from 1 species